rnacentral:rRNA from 1 species
GGUUAAGCGACUAAGCGUACACGGUGGAUGCCCUGGCAGUCAGAGGCGAUGAAGGACGUGCUAAUCUGCGAAAAGCGUCGGUAAGGUGAUAUGAACCGUUAUAACCGGCGAUGUCCGAAUGGGGAAACCCAGUGUGUUUCGACACACUAUCAUUAACUGAAUCCAUAGGUUAAUGAGGCGAACCGGGGGAACUGAAACAUCUAAGUACCCCGAGGAAAAGAAAUCAACCGAGAUUCCCCCAGUAGCGGCGAGCGAACGGGGAGGAGCCCAGAGCCUGAAUCAGUGUGUGUGUUAGUGGAAGCGUCUGGAAAGGCGCGCGAUACAGGGUGACAGCCCCGUACACAAAAAUGCACAUGCUGUGAGCUCGAUGAGUAGGGCGGGACACGUGGUAUCCUGUCUGAAUAUGGGGGGACCAUCCUCCAAGGCUAAAUACUCCUGACUGACCGAUAGUGAACCAGUACCGUGAGGGAAAGGCGAAAAGAACCCCGGCGAGGGGAGUGAAAAAGAACCUGAAACCGUGUACGUACAAGCAGUGGGAGCCCUGAUUUAUCAGGGUGACUGCGUACCUUUUGUAUAAUGGGUCAGCGACUUAUAUUCUGUAGCAAGGUUAACCGAAUAGGGGAGCCGGAGGGAAACCGAGUCUUAACUGGGCGUUAAGUUGCAGGGUAUAGACCCGAAACCCGGUGAUCUAGCCAUGGGCAGGUUGAAGGUUGGGUAACACUAACUGGAGGACCGAACCGACUAAUGUUGAAAAAUUAGCGGAUGACUUGUGGCUGGGGGUGAAAGGCCAAUCAAACCGGGAGAUAGCUGGUUCUCCCCGAAAGCUAUUUAGGUAGCGCCUCGUGAAUUCAUCUCCGGGGGUAGAGCACUGUUUCGGCAAGGGGGUCAUCCCGACUUACCAACCCGAUGCAAACUGCGAAUACCGGAGAAUGUUAUCACGGGAGACACACGGCGGGUGCUAACGUCCGUCGUGAAGAGGGAAACAACCCAGACCGCCAGCUAAGGUCCCAAAGUCAUGGUUAAGUGGGAAACGAUGUGGGAAGGCCCAGACAGCCAGGAUGUUGGCUUAGAAGCAGCCAUCAUUUAAAGAAAGCGUAAUAGCUCACUGGUCGAGUCGGCCUGCGCGGAAGAUGUAACGGGGCUAAACCAUGCACCGAAGCUGCGGCAGCGACACUGUGUGUUGUUGGGUAGGGGAGCGUUCUGUAAGCCUGCGAAGGUGUGCUGUGAGGUAUGCUGGAGGUAUCAGAAGUGCGAAUGCUGACAUAAGUAACGAUAAAGCGGGUGAAAAGCCCGCUCGCCGGAAGACCAAGGGUUCCUGUCCAACGUUAAUCGGGGCAGGGUGAGUCGACCCCUAAGGCGAGGCCGAAAGGCGUAGUCGAUGGGGAAACAGGUUAAUAUUCCUGUACUUGGUGUUACUGCGAAGGGGGGACGGAGAAGGCUAUGUUGGCCGGGCGACGGUUGUCCCGGUUUAAGCGUGUAGGCUGGUUUUCCAGGCAAAUCCGGAAAAUCAAGGCUGAGGCGUGAUGACGAGGCACUACGGUGCUGAAGCGACAAAUGCCCUGCUUCCAGGAAAAGCCUCUAAGCAUCAGGUAACAUCAAAUCGUACCCCAAACCGACACAGGUGGUCAGGUAGAGAAUACCAAGGCGCUUGAGAGAACUCGGGUGAAGGAACUAGGCAAAAUGGUGCCGUAACUUCGGGAGAAGGCACGCUGAUAUGUAGGUGAAGCGACUUGCUCGUGGAGCUGAAAUCAGUCGAAGAUACCAGCUGGCUGCAACUGUUUAUUAAAAACACAGCACUGUGCAAACACGAAAGUGGACGUAUACGGUGUGACGCCUGCCCGGUGCCGGAAGGUUAAUUGAUGGGGUCAGCGCAAGCGAAGCUCUUGAUCGAAGCCCCGGUAAACGGCGGCCGUAACUAUAACGGUCCUAAGGUAGCGAAAUUCCUUGUCGGGUAAGUUCCGACCUGCACGAAUGGCGUAAUGAUGGCCAGGCUGUCUCCACCCGAGACUCAGUGAAAUUGAACUCGCUGUGAAGAUGCAGUGUACCCGCGGCAAGACGGAAAGACCCCGUGAACCUUUACUAUAGCUUGACACUGAACACUGGUCCUUGAUGUGUAGGAUAGGUGGGAGGCUUUGAAGUGUGGACGCCAGUCUGCAUGGAGCCGUCCUUGAAAUACCACCCUUUAAUGGCUGGUGUUCUAACGUGGGCCCGUAAUCCGGGUUGCGGACAGUGUCUGGUGGGUAGUUUGACUGGGGCGGUCUCCUCCUAAAGAGUAACGGAGGAGCACGAAGGUUGGCUAAUCCUGGUCGGACAUCAGGAGGUUAGUGCAAUGGCAUAAGCCAGCUUGACUGCGAGCGUGACGGCGCGAGCAGGUGCGAAAGCAGGUCAUAGUGAUCCGGUGGUUCUGAAUGGAAGGGCCAUCGCUCAACGGAUAAAAGGUACUCCGGGGAUAACAGGCUGAUACCGCCCAAGAGUUCAUAUCGACGGCGGUGUUUGGCACCUCGAUGUCGGCUCAUCACAUCCUGGGGCUGAAGUAGGUCCCAAGGGUAUGGCUGUUCGCCAUUUAAAGUGGUACGCGAGCUGGGUUUAGAACGUCGUGAGACAGUUCGGUCCCUAUCUGCCGUGGGCGCUGGAGAACUGAGGGGGGCUGCUCCUAGUACGAGAGGACCGGAGUGGACGCAUCACUGGUGUUCGGGUUGUCAUGCCAAUGGCACUGCCCGGUAGCUAAAUGCGGAAGAGAUAAGUGCUGAAAGCAUCUAAGCACGAAACUUGCCCCGAGAUGAGUUCUCCCUGAGACUUAGAGUCUCCUGAAGGAACGUUGAAGACGACGACGUUGAUAGGCCGGGUGUGUAAGCGCAGCGAUGCGUUGAGCUAACCGGUACUAAUGAACCGUGAGGCUUAACCUU